AGCAGAUUUUUCAGCCCUGCAGACUAAGGCAGAUGAGCAGUACAUGGGACAGAAACUCAGUCUGAAAGAAGUAGGUUUCGAGAUUUAUACUUCUGAAGCCACUUAACUCCUUGUACAGUGUGCUGGAAGAGUUAUAACAUCAAAUAUAGAGCAAAAUACAUCUAUUGGUGCACAAUGUGAUGCUGAUUCACAGUAAAGUGAGAGGCAGCUGUUUCUGCUGCUAGGUGGAAAACUGAGGAUCCACGACCAGUGAAAUGCUCCCUGAAUAGACUCAGUGGUGAGAAAUUAAAAGCGACUUGAUUUGAAAAAGGAAAAGUGAAAGAGGUCUGGAUGCUACAGCUGAAAACCAACACAGGGGCGCUGUUUUCUCAAUGGAAUAGCAGUCAGAAGGUGACUUUUCUUAGUGAAUGGUGAGAGAUACUUCUGCUGAGCAGAAUUGCCUGUUCCAUUUCAGCUCUGUGGGUCUCUUUGAGGGACACCAGUGGAGUGAACUCGCAUGGAACAACGCACUGCGAAAAAUUCCAGGGGAAGCAGGAAGCAAUUGUGCAUCUCUGGCUGGAAGCUGGAGGUCUGUGCUUGCAGUGAGUCAGGAUUUUUGAGCGUGGAAGGGUGUAAAGGUGCAGUGUGGUGGGGAGGUCACUGAGCCAAGUCCUUGCAAGGACUCAUCUUUUGCUGAGCUGCUCAUGCUAACCAGCAGAAAAAGCUGUGUAUGCAAUUGUGGAGGCAAUUCUAGUUUGGAGAGAGCUCUGCAAUUAAACUUCUCCCAGCACCUGGAGCAUCUCAUGUCUUUUGAUGGUGUGGGUGUCUGUGUGGGUGGACACCACUGCCCUGCAACAAGUGCCUGGAACACUCCUGCUGGAAAUUCGAAGAUGCAGUUAAAGCUCCUGCUUUAUGUCCAGCAGCAAACAUUAGACAAUGAUGUUUGAAGCUUUGCCAAGUUUGGGUGCUGACUUGGGUUCACCCAGGAGGGCAUGCUGGAAACUAAUAAUGAGCAGCAUGAUGCAUUUCAGCAUCAGUCAGAGUGAUUUUCCUACCCUUGCCUUUCCUCUGCUUUGUUCCCUUGAGCAGUUACUCCCUCUCAGGUCAGAUGUUCACUUCAAAUAUAUGUGGGUCUUUCUGGAUCACCAAUCUUAAUCUUUCCCAGUCACUUUUCUGGCUCAUUUCUCUUCUGUGCUGAUUUCCCUUGAAAAUAUCAAGUCCUAUUCUGUUACAGUGCUGAAGUUACCCCUUUUCCUCCCUACCUCCCUCUUCACCAACAUUUUGUGUCCCAAUUGAACAGAAGGAGCACUUCUUGUAUAUUGCAGUUAAAAAAAAUGUGUUUAACAUCUGCAUGUGUUGAGGCUUUUCACAGGCAUCAUUCAUGACCUUUUAUGCAGUUCCUGGGAUUCUGUUUUACAAUUAUUUUACAAUUAUUCAGAAUAUUUUUCACAGUGGGUCCACUUUUUUCCCCAUGCUUUCACAGCUGAACUUACAACAUCCACUGAUUGCCUUGUGUUGUUCAUCUAUUUCAUGGAGAUAACAUGGAGCUUUCAAAGUUUCCUUUUUGGCUACCCUGUAUCAGUUAAAAAUUAUUUUUGAUUGCAAAUUCCAUAACAUAUAUGUCAGCAGAUCUUAAUUUUGAUUAAUAAAUGUGCAGCCAGUUUUGUUAGUUUAAUGGGAGAGGGUGGAAAAAGAAUGAGCAGAGGCAGGGUUAAAUUUGACUUCUGAGGUGGGUAUUUGAGCAAAAAGUAAGUCAUGGUGGAUGAAGCCAUAAUUUGUUACAUUUUUCCUGGAGGAAAAGGCUCCACUCUCCCAAAAUGACUUUAUUCCGUGCAAGCAUUGCUUACAAAAAUAAGAAAGAAAUGUGGGUUAAAGUCAACAGGUGGAGAUGUCAAAUGCUGCUGGGGUAGAGCAACUGCUCAGAUGGAUUUCUCUGAUUUCCUGGAGGAUGUGAACCUGCAUUUCCCUGAUAAAUGUCUCUAUCUUGCUCUGGAGAGCGAGGGAAGAGGCGGGAGAAGAGCCUGCUCAGGUCUCCCACUGAAGCCCUACUGCUUUGAAUAAAUAAUUAAGCUUUCACACCUCUCAGACGAGCGUUCUCAUCACAGCUGACACAAUCCCAUGUCUGUUCUCACCAACUGUUUAAGUAUUUUUUGGAAAAGAGAAGCAUUACAGUGUCAGAACCGUCAGAACACAUUGAUAAGAACAGUUAUACCCAUGCAUGCAGCACGUACAGAUGUGAAUCCACCUCCAUUUUCCAGUUUUACUGGUCAUUACUGAAAGAGACAAAAUUUUCCUGACUCUUUGGUGUCUGGGUGAAACAUCUGAGUGCUGGUGUUUGUUCUGGUGGGUGUUUGAUUAUUUGUGAAGCAUGGAAUGGUGACGAGAGGAGGGGCAGAGCUCCAGUUAGGGCACAGUGGUUUUGUGCCCACAGUCACAGGAGGAAGGUGAAUUGGAAGAAUCUUACAUGACAACUUGUGGCCCAGGCUAUAAUUUCCAGUAUUUUUCUUGGUAGCUGGACUUCAAUAUAGCUGUGAUUUACCAGAAAAUAAAUACUUUGGUUUCUUUCCUUGAAACGACUUGCUGCAGCACUUUAAAUGGCUCAGUUUUAGUUUUCCUCUGUAGGUAGGUACUGAAGUGACAUCAGUUCAGUAAUAGACCGAGCAGAUCCUAUGGGAGAAUGACUAACCUUGAAAUAUUAAAAAAUCAAAAUAUAAGCCUGUGCAAUUAGACCAGGAAAGUGGAAGCCUAAUGCUCUAGUGAGGGCAAAUGGCAUAUAUGAAAAUAUUAAACAGCUGCUGGCAGAGUGGCACUGAAAUAUCAGAUAAUGCCAGUUCUGUUCUCAGAUGAAUUCCAAAGGCAUUUCUUCUUGGAAGCUCUCUUAACACUACUAGGAACCAUCUGAAUUUUUCAUAUACCUUGAUGGGUUAUAAAUUAGCUGGGAUCACUCUGGAGAAAGACCUCCUCACAGGGGACAAGCUCAGUGGGAACAUCUGCUCGGCUGUGCCACAGUGGUCAAAGAGGCAAAGAAGGCAGUGGGUUGUAUCAGGGAAAAUGUGUAGAACAAAACUGAAAUUUCAGUGCUGCUGUUGCAUGUAUAGAUGCAUUAUCUUUACUUCUGUGCUUAAUGCUUCAGGAAUUCCAGAAUGUCAGGGAAAAUGCUGCAAGUGUACAAGCUUGGUGUCUGACUAUCCUUUGUUUAGUUUUAAGGUGACAAAUGACAGCUAGUUUUAUUUUUAUUUAUAGCCUUGUUUUCAUUACAUAAAAAUAGUGCUUAAAGCUUGAACAAGUAUUAACUCUCUGAGCCGUAUCAUAA